rnacentral:rRNA from 1 species
CCAAUGAAAUUGAUCCUUCAGUACAAAAGCUGGAAUUAGCCCAUAAGACGAGAAGACCCUGUGGAGCUUCAAAACCAAAAUCACCAAACAUGCUUCAUGGGUUUUUAGUUGGGGCGACUUUGGAGCAAAAAAAACCCUCCAAACAUAAAUCUAUUUAUUAAGACUAACACACCAAAAAAAUAUUAUAGACCCAGCAGUAUCUAUUUACUGUCUGACCAAUGAACCAAGUUACCCCAGGGAUAACAGCGCCAUCCUCUUCUAGAGUCCUUAUCGACAAGAGGGUUUACGACCUCGAUGUUGGAUC